rnacentral:piRNA from 1 species
UGGUGAUCCUAGUUCUUUACUGAAAAUGUC